AGGGAUAAGGCUCAGUGGCACAGCGCCUGCAUGGCAAGUAUGAGGUCCUGAGUUCAAUUCCUGGUAUCUCUC
rfam:Cavia porcellus supercont2_218 genomic scaffold, whole genome shotgun sequence.